rnacentral:siRNA from 1 species
CUGUAAUGACGGUUCGACUCCGUCC